AUUGAACGCUGGCGGCAGGCCUAACACAUGCAAGUCGAACGGUAACAGGAAGCAGCUUGCUGCUUUGCUGACGAGUGGCGGACGGGUGAGUAAUGUCUGGGAAACUGCCCGAUGGAGGGGGAUAACUACUGGAAACGGUAGCUAAUACCGCAUAACGUCGCAAGACCAAAGAGGGGGACCUUAGGGCCUCUUGCCAUCGGAUGUGCCCAGAUGGGAUUAGCUAGUAGGUGGGGUAACGGCUCACCUAGGCGACGAUCCCUAGCUGGUCUGAGAGGAUGACCAGCCACACUGGAACUGAGACACGGUCCAGACUCCUACGGGAGGCAGCAGGGGGGAAUAUUGCACAAUGGGCGCAAGCCUGAUGCAGCCAUGCCGCGUGUAUGAAGAAGGCCUUCGGGUUGUAAAGUACUUUCAGCGGGGAGGAAGGGAGUAAAGUUAAUACCUUUGCUCAUUGACGUUACCCGCAGAAGAAGCACCGGCUAACUCCGU
rnacentral:rRNA from 1 species